rnacentral:rRNA from 1 species
AAAUUGGCUUUCCCUUCGGGGACAAGGUGACAGGUGGUGCAUGGUUGUCGUCAGCUCGUGUCGUGAGAUGUUGGGUUAAGUCCCGCAACGAGCGCAACCCUUAUUAUUAGUUGCCAGCAUUCAGUUGGGCACUCUAGUGAGACUGCCGGUGACAAACCGGAGGAAGGUGGGGAUGACGUCAAAUCAUCAUGCCCCUUAUGACCUGGGCUACACACGUGCUACAAUGGCAUAUACAACGAGUCGCCAACCCGCGAGGGUGCGCUAAUCUCUUAAAGUAUGUCUCAGUUCGGAUUGUAGGCUGCAACUCGCCUACAUGAAGUCGGAAUCGCUAGUAAUCGCGGAUCAGCACGCCGCGGUGAAUACGUUCCCGGGUCUUGUACACACCGCCCGUCACACCAUGAGAGUUUGUAACACCCAAAG